rnacentral:misc_RNA from 1 species
GAUGAAGAACGCAGCGAAAUGCGAUACGUAAUGUGAAUUGCAGAAUUCAGUGAAUCAUCGAAUCUUUGAACGCAUAUUGCGCUCUCUGGUAUUCCGGAGAGCAUGCUUGUUUGAGUAUCAGUAAACACCUCAACUUCCAUAUCUUUUUUGAAAUGGGAGUUGGACUUGAGUGAUCCCAACGCUUUUCCUCACCGAAAAGUGGCGGGUUACUUGAAAUGCAGGUGCAGCUGGACUUUUCUCUGAGCUAUAAGCAUAUCUAUUUAGUCUGCCUAAAAAACAGAUUAUUACCUUUGCUGCAGCUAACAUAAAGGAGAUUAGUUCUUGUGCUGACUGAUGCAGGAUUCACAAAGACAGGCUUCGGCCGACUUUGUAAAAUCGAUCUCAAAUCAAGUAAGACUACCCGCUGAACUUAAGCAUAUCAAUAAGCGGAGGA